GCGCGGCCGUAGCUCCGCCACAUCUCGGCGGUUGAAGAUGUAUAAUAAUAGGCCAAAACGUGAUCGUAAGGGCAAAAUAUUGAAGCAUGAAUAUCAAUCAAAGCAUCUUCAGUUAACAAGGAUACAGCCAGAUCCCCGCUGGUUCAUCAAUACUCAGGUGAUUAGUCAGGAGAAAUUGGAAUCCUUUACAGAAGAGAUCCAGGAUCGGCUUUCCAGCAACUACAGUGUUAUAUUGAACAAGAAGAAUUUGCCCAUGUCCCUUGUGAAUGAGCACCAAUAAGAUGUCCCUCCACGGUUCAUGAAGAGACAGACCAUCUAAUUCCAACAUUUUUUCCCAAGAGUCCGAGAUUUUUCAAGUAUUAUGAAAGCGAGAAGCCAAAAUAAGAUUAGACAACUCAGUUUUUUAGUUAAUUUUAGUAACCUGGUAGUUAAGUUCUGAACAGUGCUGCUAGAAUAGCGAUUAGUCACCGUUGCUGCUGACUCCAGUGCUGCUAGAUUAGCGACUAGUCACCGUUGCUGCUGACUCAAGUGCUGCUAGAAUAGCGAUUAGUCACCGUUGCUGCUGACUCUGGACUUAGAGGAAACAACUCCGCGAUGAGUUGGUUCUUUUCAUUCGUUUUUUGAUUGACAUUUACUUUCCAGAAGUUCUUUUGGCGUUUGAUAUGACAGAAUCUUCUGAUAAAAAAUGAUGGCAGGAUCAGGCUCA